rnacentral:misc_RNA from 1 species
AUUCAGCAUCGGAGACGCCAAUACAGAAAACACACUCUAACUUUAUUGAAGUAGCAGGUCGAAGCAGCUAAUGAAUCACCACAAGAUCACAAUCGUUCUCUUGCUGUGUGUAAUACCCAAGGUCUUCUGCAGUUGUGAGGAACCAUAUGAUGAGUUACUGGAAAUUCGAAUGUUACUUAUUGGGAAAACUGGAGCAGGAAAGAGUAGCGCAGGGAAUACUAUCUUAGGGAAUAAAGUGUUUUCGACGUCCCCAGCCUCCAUUUCCCACACCGAUGACGUUCAAUAUGGGGUUGUUGAUAGAUUCGGUAGAAGACUUGUUGUGGUUGACACACCGGGAAUAUUCGAUACUGGGAAAGACUCAAACGAAACGUUUCCUAAAAUUGAAGAAGUUUCCAGUGCCAUCAGUUUUGAUUAUCCGGGAUUAUUUGCCUUUUUACUUGUCAUAAAGAUUGGUCUAUUAACUGCUGAGGAGGAAGAAAAUGUCCCCUUUUCAUUGGCCGAUAUGGCGACCAAAUAAAAAAAUGCAUGGUUAUAGUUUUCACAGGAAAGUCUCUACUGGAUGACAACAUCAUGAGUAUAGAAGAAUACAUAAAUACCAUCGAUGAUAAUUCUGAUAUUAAGAAACUUAUUCAAACCAUAGAUAAAAGAUAUGUUGUAUUAGGUUUGAAAGGAAAACAAUCUGAUCGCGCAGACGAAGUUCAAAUAAUAUUAAAAAUGAUAGAAAAUAUGAAUCAAAGCAAUCAUUGUAUUAAAUAUGUUAACUCCAAUUUCAGAUGAUAUUAUUGAACAUUAAAGAGUACGGUUAUUCAUUCGUUCUGUUUAUUUUCUAGUGUCAUUGGCAAACUGCAAGAACCUAUACUGUAUGUUUACCACAAUUUGAAAAUAAAUACUAAAUCUG